GCCACUGUGGUCUAGGGGUCAGAACGCUGGGCUUAUAAUCCUGGGGUCCCGGGAUCGAUAUCCGGCGGUGCCC
rfam:Zootermopsis nevadensis contig33653, whole genome shotgun sequence.